UAUAAUGGUCCAAUGAAGGUAAUUUAAAAAACAGGACAUUUCCUCACUUUCUAAAAAAAAACCCGGGACGCCCCGGACAGGACGUGAAAUACGGACAUGUCCCGGGAAAUACGGACGUUUGGUCACCCUAUAAGACAUCUUUACAAGUAGUUACUGUAGUUUGCAUUGCAUUAUGGGUAUAGUACAUAGUAUUACAGUAAUUUACUGUAUGUUUUGAAUUUGCAGUAAUUUACUGUUUACACAUUACAGUAGUGGUACUGUACUUAUAAUAUACAGUAAGAAUUAUAUUUGAUUUCCAACGGUCAUCAUAGCUGCUUCAUCGUGGUUCCCUGUUUCUGUAUUUUUACUCCUUUAGUGGUUAACAUAUUUUUAAGGCAGAAAGAGAGCAUGUACUUUUGUUUUUUUCACAUCCUAGCUAACAUUAAUAUGCAGUUUAUCUAGCUACGUCAUCAAGCGUGGCUUCGCUUCCAACUGUUUUCUGAUGACGUUUGUUUUAAACUCCGAAGCUUUUUCCCUCCAAGUGCAGCUCUGUCUCCGUGCUGUGGGCUCACACUGCUUCAGCUCUUCAAGACAGAUGACUUUUUUUUAACUCCCAAGCUUUUUCCCUCCAAGUGGCUGUGCAGUUCUGUCCUGCUGACUGCUAACAUAGCUUCAUCUCUUCAAAAGACAAGACAACAGGUAUCUUCCACCAAGAUGUCUGUUGAAAUGGAAAUGACCUUACCCACUACACCAAGGGUAAUCAUGCUUGGAAAUAGCUUGAUGUCUGCAACCCGGUGGAUGGUCAGUAUGGAGGAGAAGGUAUUUUUCGAGCCUGAGCAACUACAUGACUUUGCCAGCGUCCUUGCUGUCUUUUUUGGGUCAUAUUCUGUCUUCAAUCUGGAGUAUCAGGAGUCAGCAUCCACCACGCUGGAGAUGAUACAAUG